rnacentral:rRNA from 1 species
AGGACGAACGCUGGCGGCGUGCCUAAUACAUGCAAGUCGAGCGAACCGAUGAAGAGCUUGCUCUCAAAGGUGAGCGGCGGACGGGUGAGUAACACGUGGGCAACCUGCCUGCAAGAUCGGGAUAACUCCGGGAAACCGGGGCUAAUACCGGAUAAUGCAUUUCGCUGCAUGGCGGAAUGCUAAAAGGCGGCUUCGGCUGUCACUUGCAGAUGGGCCCGCGGCGCAUUAGCUAGUUGGGGAGGUAACGGCUCCCCAAGGCGACGAUGCGUAGCCGACCUGAGAGGGUGAUCGGCCACACUGGGACUGAGACACGGCCCAGACUCCUACGGGAGGCAGCAGUAGGGAAUUUUCCGCAAUGGGCGCAAGCCUGACGGAGCAACGCCGCGUGAGUGAGGACGGCUUUCGGGUUGUAAAACUCUGUUCUUCGGGAAGAACGGCGGUCGGGUGAAUAGCCCGAUUGCGUGACGGUACCGAAGGAGAAAGCCCCGGCUAACUACGUGCCAGCAGCUGC